GAAAAAAUAAAUAUAUAAAAAGGGCCGCAUGCUCCCUAUUUUGAUCUUAUCAGGACGAUAAACAUGGUUUUAUUUUUACUUGGCCUUAGCGAGUAUACAGCUACUAAUAGAGUCCGCUAAGCAGACUCGAGGAAUUCGUUACUAGUUACACAGUAUGGUCUGUCAAACAAAAUUUACUCAUUUGGAUGAUCAGCCAAUAAUAAUCUGGUGACCUUACUGCCACAUUUCUUUGAAGGGCUUGAAGUAAAAUAACUAAACUAACUAACUUGAACUAAAAUAAUAUUUCAUGUUGUUAUGCGCGUAAAGUAAAGUGCCAAAACAAAAUUCAGAACAAAAUCAUUCAGGGACUCAUAAAGAAACCCGCCGUUUGGCACCUGCCUUAUGGCAUUGGAACUCAAUAUUAGCAUAAAAACACUCCCAGCAGCGCCAGCAUGGGGUAAAUUUGUUAUUUGCGAAAAUAUGUUCUUUACACAUAUAUAUCUCAUAUGUUCUAAAUGCAUUUUAAGCCGUACUUGCAUUGCAUAUUUCCCUGCUCGUUUACUUGUCUUCGAAAUACACAAAUCAUGGAGAUAUGUUCCCAACCAAUUGCAAAUAGUAUGAUAAAACUGGAUUCAGAUAUUCCCAAGGUUACAAACAAAACGAAUACCAAGGAAGCUUACUUUGUUGGUGAAACAUCAGCAUUCCAAAGAAUAAAGUACUUGCGAUGAAACCUUUGAAAAACGAAGGCUGACACAGGCCAUGGCGUCGACCCAGUAAACAGCGCAUAUUAUCGGCGGCACAUACACAACCUAAAUAAAAAUUCAACUCAAACCAA